UACGUAGGGGGCAAGCGUUGUCCGGAUUUAUUGGGCGUAAAGAGCGUGUAGGCGGCCAGACAAGUCUGCUGUGAAAACUCGAGGCUCAACCUCGAGCUGUCGGUGGAAACUGUCUGGCUAGAGUCCGGAAGAGGAGAGUGGAAUUCCUGGUGUAGCGGUGAAAUGCGUAGAGAUCAUGAGGAAGACCAGUGGCGAAGGCGGGUCCCUGGACAGUUCCUGACACUGAGACACGAAGGCCAGGGGAGCAAACGGG
rnacentral:rRNA from 1 species